AGAAUUAGUUAAACAUAUUUCUGUUGUCCUAGGAGGCUGGGUUCAGGGUGUCUGCUAAAUCUGUGGUUUUAAGAAUGAGGGGAAAAAAUAAAGCAUUUCUCUGCCUUCCAGGAUUCCGUUUCUUUGCACAAGAAGUUCAUCGCUGAUUGCUACAAGCGGCUGGAGGCCGCCAGCUCGGCCCUGGGCGGGCCCACUUUAACCCAUGCUGUUACUAAGGCAACAAAGAUGCUGACGGCCACCGCCAUGCCAACCGUAGCCACGUCUGUACAAUCACCUUCCAGGUACAGAGGGGGGUUUGGGUCCACAAAACUGGUCAUUAUUGAACGACUGCUGUUACUGGCUGAACGCUACGUCAUCACUAUAGAGGUAUAUG